rnacentral:sRNA from 1 species
GCCAGGUGUGGCGGUGCACGCCUAUAAUCCCAGCCACUUGGGAGGCUGAGGUUAGAGGAUUGCAAGUUUGAGGCCAGCCUCAGCAAUUUAAUGAGACCCUGUCUCAA